AGUCGAGCGGUAACAGGAGAAGCUUGCUUCUCGCUGACGAGCGGCGGACGGGUGAGUAAUACUUAGGAAUCUACCUAGUAGUGGGGGAUAGCUCGGGGAAACUCGAAUUAAUACCGCAUACGACCUACGGGAGAAAGGGGGCAACUUGUUGCUCUCGCUAUUAGAUGAGCCUAAGUCGGAUUAGCUAGAUGGUGGGGUAAAGGCCUACCAUGGCGACGAUCUGUAGCUGGUCUGAGAGGAUGAUCAGCCACACCGGGACUGAGACACGGCCCGGACUCCUACGGGAGGCAGCAGUGGGGAAUAUUGGACAAUGGGGGCAACCCUGAUCCAGCCAUGCCGCGUGUGUGAAGAAGGCCUUUUGGUUGUAAAGCACUUUAAGCAGUGAAGAAGACUCCAUGGUUAAUACCCAUGGACGAUGACAUUAGCUGCAGAAUAAGCACCGGCUAACUCUGUGCCAGCAGCCGCGGUAAUACAGAGGGUGCAAGCGUUAAUCGGAAUUACUGGGCGUAAAGCGAGCGUAGGUGGCUUGAUAAGUCAGAUGUGAAAGCCCCGGGCUUAACCUGGGAACGGCAUCUGAUACUGUUAGGCUAGAGUAGGUGAGAGGAAGGUAGAAUUCCAGGUGUAGCGGUGAAAUGCGUAGAGAUCUGGAGGAAUACCGAUGGCGAAGGCAGCCUUCUGGCAUCAUACUGACACUGAGGUUCGAAAGCGUGGGUAGCAAACAGGAUUAGAUACCCUGGUAGUCCACGCCGUAAACGAUGUCUACUAGUCGUUGGGUCCCUUGAGGACUUAGUGACGCAGCUAACGCAAUAAGUAGACCGCCUGGGGAGUACGGCCGCAAGGUUAAAACUCAAAUGAAUUGACGGGGGCCCGCACAAGCGGUGGAGCAUGUGGUUUAAUUCGAUGCAACGCGAAGAACCUUACCUGGUCUUGACAUAUCUAGAAUCCUGCAGAGAUGCGGGAGUGCCUUCGGGAAUUAGAAUACAGGUGCUGCAUGGCUGUCGUCAGCUCGUGUCGUGAGAUGUUGGGUUAAGUCCCGCA
rnacentral:rRNA from 1 species